GAGAAGGAGGGCCGCCGGUCGGACCCCAGCCUGAGGUGGUGGAACCGGAGCGGCUGGAAGGAGGCUGCAGAUCCAGGCUGAAGCCUCUGAGCUCCAGAUGAGUGGAGGAGCGUCUCCAGGAGGCGUGUGAAGGUGCUGAAGGAGGAGCUCCUCCGUGGAGCCGCGCUGUUGACUCCUCCCUCCAGAGGAGAACCUGAAGGAGGUCCUCCAUGUGGCUGCGCUGCUGACUCCUCCCUCCAGAGGAGAACCUGAAGGAGGU